rnacentral:rRNA from 1 species
AUUGAACGCUGGCGGCAGGCCUAACACAUGCAAGUCGAGCGAGUGGCGGACGGGUGAGUAAUGUCUGGGAAACUGCCCGAUGGAGGGGGAUAACUACUGGAAACGGUGGCUAAUACCGCAUACUAUCGGAUGAACCCAAAUGGGAUUAGCUAGUAGGUGGGGUAAAGGCUCACCUAGGCGACGAUCCCUAGCUGGUCUGAGAGGAUGACCAGCCACACUGGGACUGAGACACGGUCCAGACUCCUACGGGAGGCAGCAGUGGGGAAUAUUGCACAAUGGGCGCAAGCCUGAUGCAGCCAUGCCGCGUGUAUGAAGAAGGCCUUCGGGUUGUAAAGUACUUUCAGCGGGGAGGCGUUACCCGCAGAAGAAGCACCGGCUAACUCCGUGCCAGCAGCCGCGGUAAUUC